rnacentral:rRNA from 1 species
AUACGGAGGGUGCGAGCGUUAAUCGGAAUUACUGGGCGUAAAGCGCGCGUAGGCGGUUGGGUAAGUCGGAUGUGAAAGCCCCGGGCUUAACCUGGGAAUUGCAUUCGAUACUGCCCGGCUAGAGUAUGGUAGAGGGAAGCGGAAUUCCGGGUGUAGCGGUGAAAUGCGUAGAUAUCCGGAGGAACACCAGUGGCGAAGGCGGCUUCCUGGACCAAUACUGACGCUGAGGUGCGAAAGCGUGGGGAGCAAACAGGAUUAGAAACCCUUGUAGUCC